rnacentral:rRNA from 1 species
CGAACGCUGGCGGCGUGCUUAACACAUGCAAGUCGAACGAGAAAGCGGGCUUCGGCCCGUGAGUAAAGUGGCAGACGGGUGAGUAACACGUGGGUAACCUACCCUGAAGUGGGGAAUAACUCUUCGAAAGGAGGGCUAAUACCGCAUAACAUCACAGAGUCUCUGGACUCCGUGAUCAAAACAGGCCUCUGAUUCAUGCUUGUGCUUCUGGAGGGACCCGCGCCCCAUUAGCUUGUUGGUGAGGUAACGGCUCACCAAGGCUUCGAUGGGUAGCCGGCCUGAGAGGGCGAUCGGCCACACUGGAACUUAGACACGGUCCAGACUCCUACGGGAGGCAGCAGUGAGGAAUAUUGCGCAAUGGGCGAAAGCCUGACGCAGCGACGCCGCGUGGAGGACGAAGGCCUUCGGGUUGUAAACUCCUGUCAGGGGGGACGAAUGUCGGCAGGCUGAAUAAUCCUGCCGGUUGACGGUACCUCCAAAGGAAGCCCCGGCUAACUCC